rnacentral:rRNA from 1 species
GAGGAAUAUUGGUCAAUGGACGAGAGUCUGAACCAGCCAAGUAGCGUGAAGGAUGAAGGUUCUAUGGAUUGUAAACUUCUUUUAUACGGGAAUAAACGAAUCCACGCGUGGAUUUUUGCAUGUACCGUAUGAAUAAGGAUCGGCUAACUCCGUGCCAGCAGCCGCGGUAAUACGGAGGAUCCGAGCGUUAUCCGGAUUUAUUGGGUUUAAAGGGAGCGUAGAUGGGUUGUUAAGUCAGUUGUGAAAGUUUGCGGCUCAACCGUAAAAUUGCAAUUAAUACUGGCAGUCUUGAGUACAGUUGAGGUAGGCGGAAUUCGUGGUGUAGCGGUGAAAUGCUUAGAUAUCACGAAGAACUCCGAUUGCGAAGGCAGCUUACUAACCUGUAACUGACAUUGAUGCUCGAAAGUGUGGGUAUCAAACAGGAUUAGAUACCCUGGUAGUCCACACGGUAAACGAUGAAUACUCGCUGUAGGCGAUAUACAGUCUGCGGCCAAGCGAAAGCAUUAAGUAUUCCACCUGGGGAGUACGCCGGCAACGGUGAAACUCAAAGGAAUUGACGGGGGCCCGCACAAGCGGAGGAACAUGUGGUUUAAUUCGAUGAUACGCGAGGAACCUUACCCGGGCUUAAAUUGCAACCGAAUAUGGCGGAAACGCUAUAGCUAGCAAUAGCGGUUGUGAAGGUGCUGCAUGGUUGUCGUCAGCUCGUGCCGUGAGGUGUCGGCUUAAGUGCCAUAACGAGCGCAACCCUUGCCGAUAGUUACUAACAGGUUAUGCUGAGGACUCUGUCGGGACUGCCAUCGUAAGAUGUGAGGAAGGUGGGGAUGAUGUCAAAUCAGCACGGCCCUUACGUCCGGGGCUACACACGUGUUACAAUGGGGGGUACAGAGGGCUGCUACCACGCAAGUGGAUGCCAAUCCCAAAAACCUCUCUCAGUUCGGAUUGAAGUCUGCAACCCGACUUCAUGAAGCUGGAUUCGCUAGUAAUCGCGCAUCAGCCACGGCGCGGUGAAUACGUUCCCG